CCCUUAGAUGUUCUGGGCCGCACGCGCGCUACACUGACGGAGGCAGCGAGCGUGUCCUUCGCCGGCAGGUGCGGGCAAUCUUGCGAGUCUCCGUCGUGCUGGGGAUAGAUGGUUGCAAUUGUCGAUCUUGAACGAGGAAUUCCUAGUAAGCGCGAGUCAUCAGCUCGCGCUGAUUACGUCCCUGCCCUUUGUACACACCGCCCGUCGCUACUACAGAGUGCCCGUGUCCAAGAAACGGUCAGACCUGUGCGGCCUCUCCGGGCGACCGGAGGGCCGUUACGGGGAAGACCCUUUAUUUGACGCGGGUCGAUGAAGUAAAAGUCGUAACA
rnacentral:rRNA from 1 species